CCUACGUGCGGCAGCAGUAGGGAAUCUUCCACAAUGGGCGAAAGCCUGAUGGAGCAACGCCGCGUGGGUGAAGAAGGUCUUCGGAUCGUAAAACCCUGUUGUUAGAGAAGAAAGUGCGUGAGAGUAACUGUUCACGUUUCGACGGUAUCUAACCAGAAAGCCACGGCUAACUACGUGCCAGCAGCCGCGGUAAUACGUAGGUGGCAAGCGUUAUCCGGAUUUAUUGGGCGUAAAGGGAACGCAGGCGGUCUUUUAAGUCUGAUGUGAAAGCCUUCGGCUUAACCGGAGUAGUGCAUUGGAAACUGGGAGACUUGAGUGCAGAAGAGGAGAGUGGAACUCCAGGUGUAGCGGUGAAAUGCGUAGAUAUUUGGAAGAACACCGAUGGCGAAGGCAGCCCCCUGGGACGCAACUGACGCUCAUACACGAAAGCGUGGGGAGCAAACAGGAUGAGAUACCCUAGUAGUC
rnacentral:rRNA from 1 species